GUACAGUUCCAAAGUCAAAUCUUCAAGAUGAAGUUCGUCACAUUUCUUUUUCUAAUAACUAUGGUUAUGGUUGUACAAUCUCGUUGGCAAUGCCCACCUUGUGAUCCUGUUUAUUGUACAACCGUUCGAUGUGCACCGCAAUUACCAGGAGAUUGUCUUGCGAACGAAACAUUCAAAGCAUAUGAUGGGCUUUGCUAUUGUUGUGACUCAUGCGUUCCAAACGAUGCUUGUUGUGGCGACUAAAGUGGAACUAAAACUGCAAAUGGAUACGGAUCAAGAAUACAACAAUUUAAUGUACAUCAAUAAAUUGUAAUUAUUAAAUAGUA